UCUUUGUGUCUUUGAUAGCCUUCAAAGAAUUAGGCAAUGAUAUGGUUGGUCAACUCGGGAGACUCUUGAUAUUCUUUGAUAAUCUUUUUCUUAUCGGUUUCGAAGAUAAUGGUUCUCUCGGCCUUCAGGCGUUUGAUCUCAUUCUCCAUCUUGGCAUUGGAUGCAAGCAUGGUCCUCGAUUUGUCGCACAUUUGCUCGUAUUCUUUGGCUAGAGUAUUGUAAGAUUUCUUAAAAUUAUCUCGUUCUUCUUUUAUCUCAGCCCGAUCCAUAAUAAGGUUUUCUCUCUGCUCCAGUAGUUCAGAGUAUCUCCAUUUUAGCUUCUUCAUUUCCAGGGACAAUUUCUUCAUUUUGGAUGCUAGCGUAUCAGCAUAAAGCAUGGUGGUUUGGAAUCGUUCUCGGUCAGCUUUUCUUUUGCUAGAAGUCGUUUCCAGGUCGGCUCAAAGUUGUUUUGUGAUUCUUUUUAGUUCCUUUUUUCGAGCUGAAAUUUCUUCGACUAGGAGUAGUAAGCGGCCG
rnacentral:lncRNA from 1 species